rnacentral:lncRNA from 1 species
GAGCUAAGACUGCGCCGCAAUGCUGAGCAGGUUCCUGGGUCCGCGCUACCGCGAGCUGGCCAGAAACUGGAUUCCCACGGCCAGCAUGUGGGGUGCUGUGGGUGCCGUGGGGCUGGUAUGGGCCACUGACUGGCGGCUGAUUCUGGAUUGGGUGCCCUACAUCAAUGGCAAGUUUAAGAAGGAAGAUUAAACUGAGCCCCCUCAGACCCCUCUGGCAUCUGGUGGUGCUGCCUCCUUCAUCUGCAUCUGGAAUAGCCCAGGCUCUCAGGAUGGACUUCGGGGAAGUACACAACAAAUAGACUUUCUAUGUUGUGGAAAUCGCUUUGGUGUGUGAAUGCACAGCAUUAAACUUGUUCUGAAACCUGCCCACCUGGAUGUGCUUAUGCUGGGGCCUGGUUGUCUUGACUGCAGGCCCAGGGCCCUGAGAGAUCCUGGGAUCCUUUUAGCUCCCAAACUGUGCAAAUGUAGGCAUUUCCCAGUGGCUGGAAGACAUGGCUUGCUGGUUUAAAAUGUUCAGUGGAUAAUCCCUGCAGAGUGAUUUUUAUUUGUUGCUGCCCUAAAACAAACAUUUAUCAUCUCCCAGGAAGGAUUUGGGAGUGAUGGGGGUGGGGGGGAAUCUGGUUGAGGGACCUUUGCAAGGUUGCAGUCGAGGCCUUGGCCUCAUCUGAAGGCCUGACAGGAGCUGGAAUUGCAUCACCAGGAUACAAACAUGAACAGGUACAUGAGGCUAUGGGGUAUACAAGCAGUUCCUGCCAACUCUUGCCAAGUUCUUGAAGAUUCUAGAAACAUUCUCUGUGAAAACAGCUCUUUUUGUCAGUCUGCUCCGAGCACUGCCACAACAAAACACAGGCUGGGCGCUUUAACAACAGCAUGGGUAUCUCACAGUUAUGGAGGCUGAAGGUCCCAGGUCAGGAUCUGGCAGCACCUGUCUCUGGUGAGGCUCUGCUUCCUGGCCCUUGGAUGGCUGCCUUCUCACUGUCCUCACAUGGCCUUUCCUUGACAUGACAAGUGAGCUUUCAGUGACUUAGGGUGCACUAAUUCUACAGGAUUGGGGCCACACCCUUCCAACCUCAUUUGACCUUAAUUAUGUCCUCCAGGGCUCCAUCUCCAGAUGCAGCCAUACUGGAGGUUAGGGAUUCAACAUACGCAUUUUAGGGAGACGCAUACAUCUGGUCCAUAACACCUUUAUAUAUUUAAACACAAGUAGUGGCAUUUGCUACACACUUUGCUGCACAAACUUUUUUUAUCCAAAGCUUAUUUCCUGGAAGCUAUGCCACUUAAAAAAGCACACAAGGAGUUCCCACUGUGGCUCAGCAGAAACAAAUCUGACAACAUCCAUGAGGACGCAGGUUCAAUCCCUGGCCUCACUCAGUUGGUUAAGGAUCCAGCAUUGCCGUGAACUGUGUUGUUAAGUUGCAGACAUGGCUUGGACCCACGAAUUGUGGCUGUGCUGUAGGCCAGUGGCUACAGCUCCCAUUUGACCCCUAGCCUGGGAACCUCCAUAUGCCACAGGUAUGGCCCUAAAAAGACACACACACAAGAAAGCACAUGCAUCAUCAAAAAUUCUACAAAGGAGUUCCCUGGUGGCUCAACAGGUUAACAAUCUGACACAGUGUCCAUGAUAAAGGCCAUCCAGCCUUGCUGUGAGCUGUGGUGUAGGUAGAAGGCACAGCUUGCAUCCCAUGGGGCUGUGGCUAUGGCGUGGGCUGGCGGCUGCAGCUCCCAUUCACCCAGCCUGAGAACUUCCAUGUGCUGAGGGUGUAGCCCUAAAAAAAAAAGUCUACAAAUAAAUUCUGGAGAGGGUGCAGAGAAAAGGGGAACCCUCCUACACUGUUGGUGGGAAUGUAAUUUGGCCCAGCCACUAUAAAAAACAGUAUGGAGAUACCUUAAAAAACUGAAAAUAGGAGUUCGCUUCAUGGCACAGUGGUUAACGAAUCCGACUAGGACCAUGAGGUUGCAAGUUUGAUCCCUACCCUCACUCAGUGGGUUAAGGAUCUGGCACUGCCGUGAUCCCUAGCUCUUAUUGACCCCUAGCCUGGGAAUUUGCAUAAACCAUGCAUGCAGCCCUAAAAGGCAAAAACAAACAAACAAACAAACAAAAAAAAACAGCAUCCUUAGUUUUUAAGUUUUUAAGCAGCUGCCUAGUACCAACGUUAUUAACAAGUCUAUUAGCAAGAGACAUUAAUUUCCUGUCAUUUGCCAUUUUAACAGUAUCCAUGGAGUGAUGUUAUUUCAGACAAAUGAACAGAUGCCACUUAAAAACCUGUAAGUUUGUGAGAAAAGGUACUCUUGAUUUUUUUUUUUUUUUUUUAACAAUUUCUAGGAAGUGUCAGGAGUUCCCGUCGUGGCUCAGUGGUUAAUGAAUCCGACUAGGAACCAUGAGGUUUCGGGUUCGAUCCCUGGCCUUGCUCAGUGGGUUGAGGAUCCGGCAUUGCCGUGAGCUGUGGUGUAGGUUGCAGACGUGGCUCAGGUCCUGCAUUGCUGUGGCUCUGGUGUAGGCUGGCAGCUACAGCUCUGAUUAGACCCCUAGCCUGGGAACAUCCAUAUGCUGUGGGAGCGGCCCUAGAAAAGGCAGAAAGACAAAAAAAAAAAAAAAAAAAAAAAAUUUCUAGGAAGUGCCCAGGUGGCAGAGUGGCUUAAGCAUCCAGCAUUGCUGCAGCUGCAGCUGCAGCUCAAGUUCAAUCCCUGAUCCCUGGCCCAAGAAUUUCCACACACAGCCAUUAUGGCCUAAAAACAAACAAAACCCCGCUCCUGCACUGGCCCACGCCUGAGGUAUAUAGGUCCCAGCCACAGAUGCAGCCUGACCCUUAACCCACUGCCCCACAGUGGGAACUCUGAAAGAAACAAUUUCUUCACACAGGUGAAGACAUUCCCACAGUCCCCCAUCAAAGCCCUGGACAAAAGGAAACGUGAGGAGUUCCCAUCAUGGCGCAGCAGAAACAAAUCCAACUAGGAACCAUGAGGUUGCAGGUUCAAUCCCUGGCCUCACUCAGUGGUUUAAGGAUCCAGUGUUCCCAUGAGCUGUGGUGUAGUUUGCAGACAUGACUCGGAUCCAGCUUUGCUGUGGCUGUGGCCAGCAGAUGUAGCUCCGAUUUGACCCCUAGCCUGGGAACCUCCAUAUACCUCAGGUGUGGCCCCCCCAAAAAAAAGAAAGUGUGAGCCCCUAACACAGGAGUUUUUAAUGUAUUUCUAUAAUGGCUAAUGGGUUUGGGGUUUUUUGAUAACAGUUAAUGGUUUUUUGUUUUUGUUACUUGCCACACCCAUGGUAUGUGCAAAUUUCAAAUUCUGAGCCAGGGAUGCAACCUGCACCACAGCAGUGAUGUCAGAUCCUUAACCUACUGAGCAGCAAGGGAACUCCAUUUGGCUUUAAUGAAAACAUAUAUGAGUUUGUUUCUGUGAACACCAGGAAAAGCAAAACUGGGGAGUUCCCGUCGUGGUGCAGUGGUUAAGGAAUCCGACCAGGAACCAUGAGGUCUUGGGUUCGAUCCCUGCCCUUGCUCAGUGGGUUAACGAUCAGGCGUUGCCGUGAGCUGUGGUGUAGGCUGCAGACGCGGCUCGGAUCCCGUGUUGCUGUGGCUCUGGUGUAGGCCAGUGGCUACAGCUCCGAUUCGACCCCUAGCCUGGGAACCUCCAUAUGCCGCAGGAGCGGCCCAAAGAAAUAGCAAAAAAAAAAAA